UACGGAGGAUGCGAGCGUUAUCCGGAUCUAUUGGGUUUAAAGGGUGCGUAGGCGGGCUUUUAAGUCAGCGGUAAAAAUUCGGGGCUCAACCCCGUCCGGCCGUUGAAACUGGGGGCCUUGAGUGGGCGAGAAGAAGGCGGAAUGCGUGGUGUAGCGGUGAAAUGCAUAGAUAUCACGCAGAACCCCGAUUGCGAAGGCAGCCUUCCGGCGCCCUACUGACGCUGAGGCACGAAAGUGCGGGGAUCGAACAGG
rnacentral:rRNA from 1 species